rnacentral:rRNA from 1 species
CUCUCGGUAACGGAUAUCUCGGCUCUCGCAUCGAUGAAGAAUGUAGCAAAAUGUGAUACUUAGUGUGAAUUGCAAAAUCCCGUAAACCAUUGAGUCUUUAAAUGCAAGUUGCGCCCGAAGCCGUUAGGCCGAGGGCACACUUGCCUGGGUGUCACG